CGCUGGCGGCAUGCCUUACACAUGCAAGUCGAACGGCAGCACGGGGGCAACCCUGGUGGCGAGUGGCGAACGGGUGAGUAAUACAUCGGAACGUGUCCAGUAGUGGGGGAUAGCCCGGCGAAAGCCGGAUUAAUACCGCAUACGAUCUUAGGAUGAAAGCGGGGGACCGAAAGGCCUCGCGCUAUUGGGGCGGCCGAUGGCGGAUUAGCUAGUUGGUGGGGUAAAGGCUCACCAAGGCGACGAUCCGUAGCUGGUCUGAGAGGACGACCAGCCACACUGGGACUGAGACACGGCCCAGACUCCUACGGGAGGCAGCAGUGGGGAAUUUUGGACAAUGGGGGCAACCCUGAUCCAGCAAUGCCGCGUGUGUGAAGAAGGCCUUCGGGUUGUAAAGCACUUUUGUCCGGAAAGAAAUCUUCAGCCCUAAUACGGCGGGAGGAUGACGGUACCGGAAGAAUAAGCACCGGCUAACUACGUGCCAGCAGCCGCGGUAAUACGUAGGGUCCAAGCGUUAAUCGGAAUUACUGGGCGUAAAGCGUGCGCAGGCGGUUGUGCAAGACCGAUGUGAAAUCCCCGGGCUUAACCUGGGAAUUGCAUUG
rnacentral:rRNA from 1 species